AGAAGGAGAAAGAAGGAGAAAGAAGAAGAAGGAGAAAGAAGGAAGAGAAAAGGGAGAGAGCAAAUCUCAACCAAAUUAAUCCGUUCAAAAGCCUAAACCACUUAGAUUCUUCCCCUCUUUUAUAAUCCUAGCUUUGUUUUGAGUGGGAGUUAUUGGGGAGAGAGAUAUCAACCCUCCAAAAUUCGCCCCUUUUGGUGAGAGUUGGGGUUUUGGGGUGAUUCUCUCCAUUGAAGCUUGGGGAGCGCUCAUUGCAUCGUUGUGUGGUCAUUGGUGGAUUGAGGCAAUUGGAUCAACCUUAAUUGACCAACCUUUGGAGCAAGCAAUGGAGAUGGAUUAGUCCUUGAAAUAUGUGUAUGUUUGGAAAAGUUGAUUGUUGAAACUGUUGGUGAAGAACAAAGGUCGACUGAAGCAUUGAGGUAAGGAUGCUGCAGGAGCCUCUGGUGGCAAGUGGCCAUAUCUGGAUUAUGCAUGAAAUGUGGCAUUUCUUUUGAGAUUAUACAUGUUGUUUUGUAGCUCACAUGUAUAGAAUUGUAAUGAAUAGGCAAUGCUAGAUUUAUGAUUUGUAUAUUGGAAUGGACUUAGCCUAUGCUCAUGCCUUUGGUCAUCUCUUUUGUUG